UGUGGAGCAGACUGCCUCAUGGAGAGGUGAGUUCCCUGUCAGUGGAAGCAAAUAAGAAGAGGCGUGCUGAGUUGCAGAGGAGACUCCUGCAUGAGUGUGAAGAUGCGUGGUGGGGAAGUCACAGUAGCAGGAUCUUGAGGCAGUUGGACACAUUGUAUCCACGGUCAGGAAGCAGAGGAGAGCCAGACUUCACACUGAGCAGCUGCGGUGGAGAAAUCAGAGAACGCGCCACCCAGCCCUAGAUUCCAAGGAGCCUGCUGGGGACUCCCUCCUCCUCCUCCUCCUCCUCCUCCUCC